UACGAAGGGGGCUAGCGUUGCUCGGAAUUACUGGGCGUAAAGCGCACGUAGGCGGCUUCUUAAGUCGGUGGUGAAAUCCUGGAGCUCAACUCCAGAACUGCCUUCGAUACUGGGAAGCUCGAGUCCGGGAGAGGUGAGUGGAACUGCAAGUGUAGAGGUGAAAUUCGUAGAUAUUCGCAAGAACACCAGUGGCGAAGGCGGCUCACUGGCCCGGUACUGACGCUGAGGUGCGAAAGCGUGGGGAGCGAACAGG
rnacentral:rRNA from 1 species